GAUAAGGACAACAUUAUCCUUAAAAAACUUUAAUUUACCCCAGAAGACCACAAUUCCAUGGUCUGAGCUCCAUGGAUGAACCAGGUAGUCUCAUCUACAAGCAAACUGGAAUUAAAAGCAGAACCUCCUGUUCCUGACAUUCAGCGGAAAAAGAGCAUCAAGAUAAAUUAUGCAGCAUAUCAAUGGUAAUGACAUGCAUAGCACUAUGAACACGACAUGCUGUUCUCCCAGUGAUAUAUAAUCUUAUCAACGGGAAUGAGGAUGAGAGAAGGUGGCUGUCCUCUAUGCCUGGCUGGUUUAACGCUGGACGGAGUUGGUAUUCUCUCAUCACUCUAAGAAGGUGUCAUCAUCCAGGUAUGUAAGAAUUACUCAGGUAAACUUCAGUCCACUUAAAGCCAAGAGGACUGUGCAUUCCAUAAAUCAGCGAGUGAGUCCUUACUGUUCCUCCAACUUCUGCAAUGUGCUUUUUGGUAAGUUUAAAAAACAUUAAAAGCAAUAUACCCAGGUGAAAUGAAAGGAGACAGUUGACUGAUGAUAGUGGCUCCAGUUCUCACCAAUAAAUUUUAUCUUGAGUUAUCUCAUAAUGCUUUCUCUCCCCAUGUGUAGUUAUUGACAGUCACAUACACCGUUGCUCUGGUUAUCAUCACAGAAUUGAAUACAUUAUGAAGCAUAUCUCAGGCUAGCACAGUUUCUAAAGGUUAGAAAAGGUCUAUUUAAAGGGAAAAAUCAUUUUAUUAACUUAAGCCUCUGCAUUUAAAACAUUGAUAAACAAAAAUGGAUAUACUUCACUUUUAUUUACAUAAAGACAGUAGUCACUGUUAUACAGUAAAGAAUCAUUCAUUUAGAUGGAAAAUAGAAUAUCAAGGGAAUUAGGUGAUAUGAGUUACUAUACAUUUGAUGUUUGGUUAAAGAGUAAGCAAAACAGUUUAUAUAAUCAAAGUGAACAGGCAUUUGUUAAAAAUUGUUAUGUAAGAAAUUAAGCUAAUAGCUACUUUUAUUUAUGUAUGGAUUGUUUUCUAUUCCAUUAUGUAUAUAAACAAAAUAUUUACAAAUUUAUUUUUACAAUGGCACAGUCAAGUAAUCUAUGCAAAAGAGUUAAUAUAACAUGGAAUUUAGUACUAUAAAUGAGCUAACAAUCUAAACUCCCAUCUGUUAAACAUCAAUUGAUGUAUAAUUUAACAUUUAUUAUUUAGUAGCUAAAAUAUUUUCAGGAGGCAUAACUUUCAUUGCUUAUCUACAACGAUUGUUUUAUAAUCUCAACAGUAUUUAGUGGCAGGGAUGCCUCCUGAAGUCUCUCUCUUUUUUUGACAGGCAGAGUGGACAGUGAGAGAGAGAGACAGAGAGAAAGGUCUUCCUUUACCAUUGGUUCACCCUCCCAGUGGCCGCUGCGGCCAGUGCACUGUGGCCGGCGCACCACGCUGAUCCGAAGCAAGGAGCCAGGUGCUUCUCCUGGUCUCCCAUGCGGGCCAUCCUCCACUGCACUCCCGGGCCACAGGAAGAAGAGCGACCGGAACAGAAUCCAGCGCCCCUACUGACCGGGGACUAGAACACGGUGUGCCUGGGCCACAGGCACAGGAUUAGCCUAUUGAGCCGCGGCACCGGCCCUGAAGUCUCAAUAUAAAGUACAUUUACUCAGUUGUGUUAGAUUGUUUUGGCUGUCAUUACAAAAUACCACCAACUUGGUGGUUGACUUAAACAGAAAAGUCAUUUUUCAAGGUUCUGGAGGCAAAAGUGCAAGAUAAAGCUAUUAGCAGGUUUGGUGUGCCUAGGGCUGCUCUCCUUGGUUUAGGGUUGGCUGCCUAUUUUUUGUGUCCUCAAGUGGUCUUUCCUCUGUG